AGUUCUCUGACAGCAGCCAGCGGGGAAGGAGGUCAUGUAUGAAAGCUCCAUGGAGAUGCUUGGCUGCUGGUCUAUUACAGGGAAUUUACCAAUUAAGGAGAGUGUAUUUGGAGGCCUGAAUCGCUGAUUUACACAUUCACCUCAAAGCAGGUCAAAACCUUGGAAAGAGAAUGCUCGUCAAAGUCUUUAAUCAGGACUCCUCUCUGGAAACAACAUAAACUUCGGCUUAAAACCAGGUG